rnacentral:lncRNA from 10 species
GUCGGGGCGAGGAAGCUGCCGGGGAAGUGAGAUGACGGUCGCGGGGGUGCCCAGGAGCCCUGAAAAACUUGUGCCCUGGGCACGGCAAAAUCUGCAGGUUGCAGAAAGUCUCAACUGAUCCUGGCAUACCCCGAGGUGCCGACUUUUAGAGCUGAAGAUGCAAGAAAGAUUGGGAUCCUGCGAUGCACCGAACCUGUCUCUCGAAGUGUGUGCGCCCUGCUUCCUGUGUUAAACAAUUUGCUACAAGGUCACACAAUUUUAACUAGAAGACUGAGAUGUGAACCUGGGUGGUCUGAUGUGAACACCACUGUCUGGUAAUCCCAACGCUCUGCUGCUUUGCGACAGAGAAUGUUUUAGGGAACACACAGACUAUGUACUUAACCAAAUCUGGAAUUUGCCGUAAGAUAUUAAUCAGAGAAGUAAUGAUACUUGCAUUUUAAAAUGAAGGCUUUGGCAGUAGGAGAAGGGUGAAUAAGAGGCUUAAGAGCCUGAAGGGAGAAAUGCCAAUGAUACAAUUAUCCAGCAAGAAAUAAUCAGAAGUUGAAGUAAGGCAAUGAUGGUAGGGAUGGAAUAUAAAAAAGCUGUACCCCUAUCUGACAUCUUUAUUGGGGGAACCCGCCCCCAAUAUUUCAACGUAGGUUCUUUCUAUUUUCCAUAAGUGUUGGCCAGCUGAGAAAUAAAGAGAGACAGUAUAAAGAGAGGAAUUUUACAGCUGAGCCACCGGGGGUGACAUCACAUAUCGGUAGGACCAUGAUGCCCGCCUGAGUCUCAGACCAGCAAGUUUUUAUUAAGGGUUUCAAAAGGGGAGGGGGUGUAAGAACAGGGAGUAGGUACAAAAGUACAAAGAUCACAUGCUUCAAAAGGCAAAAAGACCUUACUACUAGUAAGGGUCUAACAAAGAUCACAUGCUUCUGAGGGAACAGGACAAAGGGCAAAAGCAGAACUACUUAUAAGAGUCCAACAAAGAUCACAAGGCAAAGGGCAAAAGCAGAGCUACUGAUAAGGGUCUAUGUUCAGCAGUGCACAUAUUGUCUUAAUAAACAUCUUAAAUAACAGAAAACAGGGUUCAAGAGCAGAGAACUGGUGUGACCACAAAUUUACCAGGGCGGAGUUUUUCCCCACCCUAGUAAGCCUGAGGGUACUGCAGGAGACCAGGGCGUAUCUCAGUCCUUAUCUCAACCGCGUAAGACAGACAUUCCCAGAGCGGCUGUUUAUAGACCUCCCCACAGGAAUGCAUUCCUUUCCCAGGGUAUUAAUAUUUAUAUUCCUUGCUAGUAAAAGAAUUUAGCAAUAUCUCUCCUACUUGCACAUCCAUUUAUAGGCUCUCUGCAAGAAGAAAAAUAUGGCUGUUUUUGCCCAACCCCACAGGCAGUCAGACCUUAUGGUUGUCUUCCUUUGUUCCCUAAAAAUUGCUGUUAUUCUGUUCUUAUUCAAGGUGCACUGAUUUCAUAUUGUUCAAACACAGAUGUUUUACAAUCAACUUGUACAGUUAACACAAUUAUCACAGUGGUCCUGAGGUGAUGUACAUCCUCAGCUUACGAAGAUAACAGGAUUAAGAGAUUAAAGUAAAGACAGGCAUAAGAAAUUAUAAAAGUAUUAUUUGGGAACUGAUAAAUGUCCAUGAAAUCUUCACAAUUUAUGUUCCUCUGCCGUGGCUCCAGCCGGUCCCUCCGUUCGGGGUCCCUGACUUCCCGCAACACAUCUUAGAUUCUUAUUACAGAAACUUAACAUUCCCAGAAGAAGCCUCGCCUUUUUAUUUCUAAUUUUGGCUAUGAAUUCCUAGCUAUGACCCAUUUGCCCCAUUCUAACUAUUUCCAGUGGUAGGGGGAAAAGAACAAGACAGUAAUAUAAUGUAGAGAUGAGCUAAUUGUGGUAAUAAUAAGCACUUGUGUAGUGCUUUCAUAUACAUGAUCUCUCUUAAUGUUCAUAACAAAGCUGUGAGGUUGGUGCUCUUAUCUCUCUUUGGUUAAUGAAGGACUGAGGCCUAGGGAAUUGGAAGUGACCUGCCAAGAUGACAGAACAAUAAAGUGGCAGAGUUGGGUUAAAUCCUUGGUUAUUUUAAUGACAAAUGACAGACCAAUAAUUGAUUCCUCAAUAAAACAGUGGAAGUCAGAAAGAGUAGAAUUGUACAUUCAGAAUGCUGGCAGAAAAUAACCAUCA